rnacentral:rRNA from 1 species
UACGAAGGGUGCAAACGUUGCUCGGAAUCAUUGGGCGUAAAGCGCACGUAGGCGGCUUUGCAAGUCGGAUGUGAAAUCCCUCGGCUCAACCAAGGAAGUGCAUCCGAAACUGCAGAGCUUGAGUACUUAAGAGGAUCGCGGAAUUCCCGGUGUAGAGGUGAAAUUCGUAGAUAUCGGGAGGAACACCAGUGGCGAAGGCGGCGAUC